GGUCUAAUUGCACAGUGGAGUGCGCUAGAUGUUUCUUCAGAUCAUCUAGACGUUCUGGGUUCGAGUCCCAGUUAGGCCG